rnacentral:lncRNA from 1 species
CGAGAUGAGGAGAAAGGGUCAGGGGAGACAGUGGGUCAGAAUAAUAUAGGUCAUCGGAGUGAAGGGCAGCACAAUGAGGAACCAAAAUUACAAGCAGCACAAAGCACAACAAAUCAGCCAAGCACACCGCAGUCUUCACAGUCUCUGAAAGGAGAACAACAACAACAUGAUAUCUAUUACCAGACCGUACAUCAAAGACCUCAGCCUGAUGAAAUAAGGGAGAAUUCAAUGUUAGAAGGCAAUGACACUAAGAAAGUACCUAAUAAUGAAUUUAGUGAUAUAGGUGUGGGUCGUGCAGGUGUCAGAUCUGGUGAAGAUCUUAAUCACUCAUAUGCUGAAAUUGAAGGUCAUGAGGUAGAGAAAGCUCUUGCGUUGGCUAAAUUCCAAGAACCUCUUCAAAUGAUUGAUGUUGAUGUUGAUGUUGAGCUUGGAAGGGUAGAAAGGUUCCCUCCAAAAUCACCUGAGUUAUUAUUGCUUGAACCAAGUAGUGAGAUUAAUGCAAUUGUUGAAGCUACAGAAAAACAUUUAAUUUUAGAGAAAAAACAGAAUUCUCCUAUGCAGGAUCUACACAAUGUUAUUACUCAUCAGAUUACAGAGGAGGCAGAGGAAGGAGAACUAUCUAGUCAGACAGAAGGUGAUAUUGUGGUGGAUAAGGAAGAAGAAAAUAAUCAGCAUAAUCUUAAUCAGAUGUUAAAAAAUGCUGAUCUAUCCCCUCAGACAAAUACCAAAGGAAGAAAAGGAAAGACUAAGGCUGACUGUAAGCCUACAAGGAUAGUCCCUAAGAGGAGUAGAAAAGCUAACUCUAGGUGAAGAUAAAAGCAUUAUUUUGGAACAUACGGUCUGUUAAAUCUCAACAUUCCUUUCAUAGAGACAUCACAAAUUUUCAUUAAGUGCUUUGAUGGAACCAUUUCAAGCUUCAAGACAUAUACAAUGGUACAAGAGAAAAUUAGGCAUGCCCUAUGCGAAUUACAACCAAAAUGGGAAGAUAUGGGUAUUUGUUCAAGAACAUAUUCAGGUGACGGUCUUGGCAAAUUCAGAGCAACAGUUAACUCUUUAACUAAAGUUUCAAGAUGGACAACAAUUGGUUACUACUAUUGUUUAUGCUAAGUGUGAUGCAAUUGAUAAACUCAAUUUGUGGGAUGAUAUUUAUCUGCUAAGUCAAAAUAUGAGACUUCCAUGGCUUGUUGCUGGUGACUUUAAUGUUAUCAUGAGUGACGAAGAGAAGAUUGGAGGACUUCCUGUCUAUCCAAAUGAGUAUGAAGAUUUUGCUUUUUGUAUUAAUUCAUAUGAGCUAAUUGAUAUUAAUUUUAAAGGAAGUCCUUUUACUUGGUAGAAUGGGAGAGCUGAUGAUGCUUGUAUUUUUAAAAGAUUGGACAGGCUAGUGAUUAAUCAAGCUUGUCUUGGUCUUAUGGGGUGUGUAGAAAUGGAGCACCUAGCUAAAACUGGUUCUGAUCAUUGCCCUUUGUUAUUGUCUUGUGGAGGGCAAAGUGAACAGUUUCUUAGACCUUUCAGGUUUUUGAAAUUUUGGGCAGAAAAAGAUGAUUUCAUGGAUGUGGUCAAACAAAAUUGGAUUGCAGUUGAUUCUGAAGAUAUAUUUAUUAGUUUAAAGCAAAAAAUGAGAAAGACCAAGAUAGAUUUGGCUACAUGGAGUAGGACGAGGUUUGGAGAUAUCUUCAAGCAAUUGAAGAUAAGGGAGGAUAUAGUUAGAAUCAAAGAGGAUCUGUUUGAAGAGCUACCCAUCGAUGAAAAUAGAUCUGUUCUCCAAAAGGCUCAGGCUGAGCUUAAGAAAUAUCUUCACUAUGAAGAAGAGUUUUGGAGGCAAAAAGUUGGAAUUCUGUGGUUUACAGAUGGGGAUAGGAAUACCAAGCUUUUUUUACAGCUUGGUAAACGGGAGAAGGAAGAGGAUGGCAAUUAACAAGAUUCAAAGAAGAAAUGGGACAUGGGCUGAGGGUAAUGAACAAAUAGCACAGGAGGCCAUUGCAUUCUAUCAGGAGCAAUUUACAAGGGGUUCUACUGCUUGUGAGAUGAACUUAAUUGAUCAUAUUCCUUGUUGUAUUACUGAUGAAGACAAUUCAUUGUUGAAGGAGUUACCUACGUACUGAAGUUGAAAUCAAGAAUGUAGUUUUUCAACUCAAUAGGGAUGGUGCAAGCGGUCCGGAUGGGUUCACUGGUCAUUUUUACCAAUCCUGCUGGGAAAUUGUUGGUGGGGAUGUUAUUAAGGUUGUGCAUGCCUUUUUUGGAGGUGCUACUCUUUCAAAACCCAUUACUCAUACUAAUUUGGUCCUAUUGCCAAAAAAAGAAAAUGUGGUAUCUUUUUCUGAUCUGAGACCUAUUAGUUUAAGUAACUUCUUAAAUAAGAUUAUUUCAAGACUUAUCCAUGACAGGCUUGAAGGUUUUCUACCUAAGAUCAUUUCACAGAAUCAAUCUAGAUUUGUGAAAGGAAGAUAUCACUGAGAACGUGUUGUUUGCCCAGGAGAUUAUUACUGAUAUUAGAAAGAGAGGCAAACCUGCAAAUGUGGUAAUCAAACCUGAUAUGGACAAAGCGUAUGAUAGAGUGGACUGGAAUUUUCUAGUCAAGGUUCUGGAGAAGAUGGGGUUUACUAGUUUGAUUAUCGACAAGAUAUGGAGAUUGGUCGCUAAUAAUUGAUACUCUGUAUUAAUUAAUGGACAAGCUCAAGGAUUUUUUUCAUUCAACAAGAGGAGUGAAGCAAGGAGAUCCUCUAUCUCCAGCUCUUUUCAUUUUAACUGCAGAAAUUUUAUCCAGGUCCCUUACCAAUUUAUUCCAUCAUUCUGAUUUCAGGGGAUUUGGGAUGCCUAAGUGGAGUGAAAAUAUCAAUCAUCUUGCUUAUGCAGAUGAUACAAUUAUAUUUGUUGAUGCUGAUAGGAUAUCUUUACAGAUGAUCAUGAAGUUACUCGAUGAUUAUGAGAAGCAGUCUGGACAAAAGAUUAAUAAGGAGAAAAGUGUUUUCUUUGUAUUUAACAAAGUUGCACAUGUUGACAUAGCACUGGUUUUGCUAGAAGAAAAUUUCCUUUGACAUACUUAGGAUGUCCGAUUGGGCAUGCUAGGAAAAGGAAAUCUCACUUCUCAAAGCUAAUGAAGAAAGUACAGAAUAAGUUACAAGCAUGGAAAGGAAAGUUGUUAUCGUUUGGUGGUAAGGCUGUAUUGAUAAAUAAUGUAUUGUAAAGCAUCCCUAUUUAUCAGCUUUCAGCUAUUAUUCCUCCUAAAUGUGUUAUUCAAGAUUUACAUAGAAUCUUUGCUAAAUUUCUAUGGAAUUUCAAAGAGAAUGGAAGAAAUAAACAUUGGAUAUCCUGGCCAGAUAUUUGCUUUCCAAAGAAUGAAGGGGGUUUAGGUUUCAAGUCCUUAUUUGAUGUUGCAAAAGCAUUAUAUGCUAAGUUGUGGUGGAUAUUCAGAACUAAAAAAACUAUGUGGACCAACUUCAUGUGGAAAAAGUAUUGCAAGAGGCAUUGUCCCCAGGUGGUGGAAUGGAGAGGGGGAUCUCAACUGUGGAAGCAUAUGUUACUAGCUCGGGAUGAUAUCGAUCAACAAAUAUGGUGGGAACCAAGAUGUGGUAACUCCAAUAUAUGGUUUGAUAAUUGGACCCAAUUGGGUGCUCUAUAUUAUUAUUUACCUGUGAAUUACUCUAUUAACAUUUAUGAGGAGGAUGUGUCUCAACUAAUGCUUCCGGGAAGGUGGAAUGAGGAUUUAGUACAACAACUAUUUCCAGAUGAGGUAUGCAAUCACAUUAUCAGAAAAAUUGGAGUAGUGGAGGAUUCAGAAGAAUGGGAUAGGUCAAGGUGGAUGUUGCAAAGUUCAGGAAAAUUUUCAAUGAAUAGUGCUUGAAAUUUUCUUAGAAUCCCAGGAACAGUACAAGAGGAGUACAAUUGUAUAUGGGAAAGAGGUAUUCCAUUUAAAGUUUCAUUCUUUAUAUGGAGACUAUGGAAAAAGAGACUUCCUAUUGGAGAGUUUCUGGUUAGAGUUGGGAUUUCAGAUGAUGUGAGAUGUUGUUGUGAUACUCUAUCCCAUGAAACUUUUGGGCAUCUGUUUUUUGUUUGUCCAAUAGCUAUCAGGUUAUGGACUUCUUAUGCAGCAGUAGCAGGGUUGCAGGGUCUUUUUUUAAAUCUCAAGGACACAAUUAUUAAAUGGUGGAAAACUCAAUGUGUUGAUAAGCUCAAGCCACUAUAUAGGGUUGUUCCUGCCUUUAUACUAUGGCAAAUCUGGAAAAGGAGGAACAAUCUUAAACAUGAUUGCCAGAUGUCUGUGUAUUGUAUGGAGAUGGAAAUUAAUAGAAAUAUUCAUUGUCUGGCAAUUAGUAGGUAUCCCUGGUUGAGAAACCUACCUACUACUUGGCCUAAGAUAGUGAAAUUUUUUGAAUCAUAAACACCUAUCAUUGAACAUAAUAUUGUCCAGUGGAAGUUCCCUAAUGAAGGUGUUUAUAAAUGCAAUUCUGAUGGUGCUUUGAAAGGGAACCCAGGGCCUAGUGCAUGUGCUUUUUGCAUUAGGAAUAAUAGAGGAGAGUUCGUCUAUGCUGAAUCUAAAGGACUGGGAAUUAUGUCUAGUUUGGAGGCUAAGACUAUUGCAUUGAGAAAUGCGUUGGAAUACUGCAUUUUGCAUGAUUUGUUGCCCGUGAUUUUAGAAACAGAUUCUCUUAUUUUGAAGAAGAUACUUGAUGGAAUUUGGGAUGUACCUUGGUACAUUGUCAUGGAAGUGAAAAAGAUUAAUAGUUUGAAGGAUAGAAAGGAAGUGGAAAUUGAGCAUACAUUCAGGGAAGUCAACAUGGUAGCAAACUAUUUUACUAAUCAAUUUUUCUGUUUUGUAGAUAUAUCGGGCAUGACGUAUGGUUCAUUAUUAGACGUUUCAAAUGAAGGGAGAGCACUACUACACAUGGAUAGAAAUCAAAUUCCUAAUCUCAGGCUGACAAAAUGUCAAAAUAGGAAUUUCAUGGUGUAAGCAGCAGGGUACAACACGCAGAUAUAAAGCAAGGCAAUACAUAAACAUGGGAUAUAAGGGCACAAAAAAAUCUUUGAAGUAAAAGAUAGAUAUAUUCUUACCUGAAUGUUCCUACAAGCUAUGUUGAGUUAGAAAUAGACUGGCCAUUUCUUGAUCUCAAGUAGUGGUUAUUAGCUCAACCUGCUGUGAAAUAGAAAUGUCAAGAAAGUUUCAGCUCAAUAUUGUUUAUUAUGGUUCAAGAGAAUGGAGGUGGUUUCUUAUCUUUGUGUGGAUGGCCAUGAAUAGCAUGGUAGAGUUGAAUAUGUCUUCUAUUAGAAUAAAUUACAUGGCAUUCGUGAGACUUGUGAAUGUUGAAGGUGAAAUUUAUCCAAACUCUACCCUCUCAUAUCUUGGUUCUAUAAAUACAAGAAUAAGCAAGGACUACUCAUUCACGCUAGUUUAUGGAGGUGAGGUGUAGAUGAUGAAGAGACAAAGUUUAUUGGUCGGAAACACAAAAUUUCGUUUCUGGGUUGACGAACAAGCAACAAUCGAGGAUAAAAAAGUGUUUCAUAGAUAAAUUCAUUGAUUUCAUAGCUAAUUAAAGGAAGGCUUACCUUCAACAUCAACAGGGAUUACUUCCGGCGUCGAACCUACAGUGACUGUUGGGUUUCCGUCUUCAAUUUUCCCCCUUUCC